UUUCGAUGCAGAACUGCAAAAUCCAUCACUCCGUGAUUGGACUCCGUUCCUGCAUAUCAGAAGGUGCUAUUAUUGAAGAUACGUUAUUAAUGGGAGCUGACUAUUACGAGACUGCUUCGGAAAAGAGCCUCCUAAACGCCAAAGGAAGUGUACCCAUAGGUAUUGGGAAAAAUUCUCACAUCA